AGUGAACGCUGGCGGUAGGCCUAACACAUGCAAGUCGAACGGCAGCACAGUAAGAGUUUGCGCUUCCGGGUGGCGAGUGGCGGGGGGGUGAGAAAUACAUCGGAAUCUACUUUUUCGGGGGGGAUCAAGUAGCGAAACUUACGCUAAUACCGCAAAGGACCUACGGGUGAAAGCAGGAGAUCUUCGGACCUUGCGCGCUUGAGUGAGCCGAUGUCGGAUUAGCUAGUUGGCGGGGUAAGGGCCCACCAAGGCGACGAUCCGUAGCUGGUCUGAGAGGAUGAUCAGCCACACUGGAACUGAGACACGGUCCAGACUCCUACGGGAGGCAGCAGUGGGGAAUAUUGGACAAUGGGCGCAAGCCUGAUGCAGCCAUGCCGCGUGUGUGAAGAAGGCCUUCGGGUUGUAAAGUACUUUCGGUGGGAAAGAAGAGCUGAAGGUUAAUACCUCGCCGUAUUGACGUUACCCGAAGAAGAAGCACCGGCUAACUUCGUG
rnacentral:rRNA from 1 species